GUGCUGGUUUUACAGUGCACGCCUUACCUUCUAUACACCUGUGCACCUUUGUAGAUUCGGGGGAGAAAUCCUUCGAAUCUAUGUUUUAUACACUCUUUUUUAUUACAUUGAAUGUUUCUUGUCUUUUGACAAACAAAUCUAUACAACUUUAAGCAACAGAUCUCUUGGCUCUCGCAUCGAUGAAGAACGCAGCGAAAUGCGAUAAGUAAUGUGAAUUGCAGAAUUCAGUGAAUCAUCGAAUCUUUGAACGCACCUUGCGCUCCUUGGUAUUCCGAGGAGCAUGCCUGUUUGAGUGUCAUUAAUAUAAUCAACCUUCUCUUGUUUUGAGAAUGGUUUGGAUGUGGGGGAUUUGCUGGCCUCUCUCAAAAGGUUCAGCUCCCCUGAAAUGCAUUAGCAGAACAACCUUUGCUCAUUGGUGUGAUAACUAUCUACGCUUAUGAAUAUGAGGGGCAGUUCAGCUUUCUAACGGUCUUUGGACAAUUCAUCAUUAAUGUGACCUCAAAUCAGGUAGGACUACCCGCUGAACUUAAGCAUAUC
rnacentral:rRNA from 1 species